rnacentral:lncRNA from 13 species
AUGGCUGACGACGCAACCCUGGUGGGGGCUCUCGUACUGAAACUCAGCCCUGGUGGGAGGGCUCUCGUACUGAAACUCAGCCCUGGUGGGGGGGCUCUCGUACUGAAACUCAGCCCUGGUGGGGGCUCUCGUACUGAAACUCAGCCCUNNNNNNNNNNNNNNNNNNNNNNNNNNNNNNNNNNNNNNNNNNNNNNNNNNNNNNNNNNNNNNNNNNNNNNNNNNNNNNNNNNNNNNNNNNNNGGUACGUCCCCUGGGACCCAGAACACACGCACAUACACACAUUUCAGACAUAACCUGAUAGGAAAUUGGGAUAUGACUGUCCCUUUCACCUCCCAACCCCUACAGUCCAGGGGUGACUCCUCUCACCUCCCCAGUCCAGGUGACUCCUCUCACCUCCCCAGUCCAGGUGACUCCUCUCACCUCCCCAGUCCAGGUGUGACUCCUCUCACCUCCCCAGUCCAGGUGUGGUGACUCCUCUCACCUCCCCAGUCCAGGUGUGGUGACUCCUCUCACCUCCCUUAGACAUGGGCUUCAAAAUGUCCCGUUUACAAGCAUCUGCAUGACAUAACAUUACAGGACAUAACAUUACAGGACAUAACAUUACAGGACAUAACAUUACAGGACAUUGGCUCGGAGAUCCACUCCUUGAGGCUUACUUCAACUCGGUAGUAGACAUGCUUUCAGCCUAUUGAGAUUGACCCUCAGUCAUAUGUGUGCAUCCCAAAUGGCACUCUAUUCCCUAUGUAGUGCACUACUUUUGACUAGGGCCCAUAGGGUAGUGCACUACUGUUGACCAGGGCCCAUAGGGUAGUGCACUACUUUUGACCAGGGCCCAUAGGGUAGUGCACUACUGUUGACCAGGGCCCAUAGGGUAGUGCACUACUUUUGACCAGGGCCCAUAGGGUAGUGCACUACUUUUGACCAGGGCCCAUAGGGUAGUGCACUACUGUUGACCAGGGCCCAUAGGGUAGUGCACUACUGUUGACCAGGGCCCAUAGGGUAGUGCACUACUGUUGACCAGGGCCCAUAGGGUAGUGCACUACUGUUGACCAGGGCCCAUAGGGUAGUGCACUACUUUUGACCAGGGCCCAUAGGGUAGUGCACUACUUUUGACUAGGGCCCAUAGGGUAGUGCACUACUUUUGACUAAGGCCCAUAGGGUAGUGCACUACUUUUGACUAGGGCCCAUAGGGUAGUGCACUACUUUUAACUAGGGCCCAUAGGGUAGUGCACUACUUUUGACCAGGGCCCAUAGGGUAGUGCACUACUUUAGACCAGGGUCCAUAGGGUAGUGCACUACUUUAGACCAGGGCCCAUAGGGUAGUGCACUACUUUUGACCAGGGCCCUGGUCAGUGCAGUAUACAGUGGGGCAAAAAAGUAUUUAGUCAGCCACCAAUUGUGCAAGUUCUCCCACUUAAAAAGAUGAGAGAGGCCUGUAAUUUUCAUCAUAGGUACACUUCAACUAUGACAGACAAAAUGAGAAAAAAAAUCCAGAAAAUCACAUUGUAGGAUUUUUAAUUUAUUUAUAUGCAAAUUAUGGUGGAAAAUAAGUAUUGGCUCCUGUAUAGGGAAUAGGAAGCCAUUUUGUAUCUGUGUUCUUGACCACAUUGACUUGUUGUUUUAGGCUACUCCAGUUUAUACAGUAGCUAGCUGGUUUAAUGCAUUUCCCCAGUUGGUAGUUCAAACAUUUCUAGUUCCACUUUCCCCAUCAGAGGCUCUGUCUUCCUGCUCUGGUUUCUGUCAUGUUGUCGUUGUCCUGGUAUGGAGUAGGUGUGAUAGUUUCUAAACCCCCUGCUACUGUGAUUUUCAAUGUGAAAUAAUCUACAGUCGAUCUACCCUAAAACUGAACCCAUGUAUCAGCAAAACUUUUACAUAAUGUACUGACAAAUCAUAUUAAAAAAAUAAUCACUCUAAAAUGGUUAAAUAUCACUACUUGGGGCCGCUCCGUCACUGUGAUUAGUGGACCACAGGGGCUGAAAGAAGCUGUACCCAUACUGUAAAAAUGCCUAUUCCCAAUUUCUCACACACACACACAGAUGCCACCUGACUGACUUUAUCAGUGAAUAAACACUAGUUGUGUUUGUACUGUGUGUGUCAAAGGCAGUGACUGAGUCAUCAAAGGGGAUUGACAUAGGCCUAUUCUGCUGUGGACAUUCUUUUGAGGAAGUGGAAAAAUGCUUGGCCAGUGUAGAAACCCAGCCUUUACAUGCUGACCAUGAACCAAGGUUAUUCUAUCAUUUCAUACAAAUUUCUCGCGAGCGUCAGCGUAGUCGGGCGCUAAAAUACAACUUGGUUCUAUUCUAAAAGAGCUAGCAACAACAAGCUAGCUAGCAACAACAUGCUAGCUGGCAACAACACACUAGCUGGCAACAACACGCUAGCUAGCAACAACACGCUAGCUAGCAACAACACGCUAGCUAGCAACAACAAGCUAGCUAGCAACAACAAGCUAGCUAGCAACAACACGCUAGCUAGCAACAACACGCUAGCUAGCAACAACAAGCUAGCUAGCAACAACAAGCUAGCUAGCAACAACACGCUAGCUGGCAACAACACGCUAGCUAGCAACAACAAGCUAGCUAGCAACAACACGCUAGCUAGCAACAACACGCUAAAUGGUCAUGAAUGUUUCAUGUGUUUCGACCUGGUUCCAAAUGAUUGUAGUUGGUUUAGAGUUUGUUUUUGAUAUUUCCUGUCUUGAUUUUGUGUCUGGUGUGGAUGGAUGAAGUCAACAUUGGCAUUCCAUUGAAACGGUCUUGGCCAUAUUCAAUCAAAACCGCAAUCCAGUUGUUUUGCAAUACGCAUGUUUGUAUCCACAUUUCCAGCAACAAGAAACAAAAAUAUAAAAAUAAACUUAAUGUCCACAUGUUAAUUCCAACAUGUUCUAUAGCUAUCCCAGGAAACAUGGGUAUUGAUCAAAAAAAAUAUUAUUAAGGGCACUUCUGCUUGAUUCUUAAUCAAGUAGGCCGUCAUUGAAAAUAAGAAUUUGUUCUUAACUGACUUGCCUGGUUAAAUAAAGGUAAAAAAAAAAAAACACAAUUAACAGGAGAUUCUGCUAGUGUCUUUACUAUAGGAGGACUUUCCAGCAGAGUCUGCAACAUUCUGCAUCCUAUUCCCUUCCCUACAUUUGACCAGGACCCAUAGGGCUCUAGUGUUCAAACAGGCAGUAAGGCAGACAUUAUUAUUAUUAUUAUUAUUUAUAUUUGUCUUUUACCAGUGAGACGGCAGCGAGUCAGAUUCACCGUGUGGGAUUAAAAGCCUCUCAGCCGUACAUGGUGGUAGUCAGAUUCACCGUGUGGGAUUAAAAGCCUCUCAGCCGUACAUGGUGGUAGUCAGAUUCACCGUGUGGGAUUAAAAGCCUCUCAGCCGUACAUGGUGGUAGACAGAUUCACCGUGUGGGAUUAAAAGUCUCUCAGCCGUACAUGGUGGUAGUCAGAUUCACCGUGUGGGAUUAAAAGCCUCUCAGCCGUACAUGGUGGUAGUCAGAUUCACCGUGUGGGAUUAAAAGCCUCUCAGCCGUACAUGGUGGUAGACGGAGAGAUUCUGGGGAGGAGCUGCAGCCUCGUCACUCUCUGGUUUUAUUUUUUACAUGUUCGUUUCCCAUAACGUGUGAGUCAGAGGAAGUGGACCAUAUACCUAGCUUCUCUAAAAGGCUGUGUGCGUGUGUUUUGAAGGUGUAACUAAGGAGUGUAGUUGUUUUAUUUUGGGCCCCAUCAGGCAGCAGGCUCAGGGCAGUAAGAA